rnacentral:rRNA from 1 species
ACGGAAGGCAGCAGUCGGGAAUAUUGCGCAAUGGAGGAAAUUCUGACGCAGUGACGCCGCGUAUAGGAAGAAGGUUUUAGGAUUGUAAACUAUUUUAGUCAGGGAAGAAAAAGACGGUACCUGAAGAAUAAGCUCCGGCUAACUACGUGCCAGCAGCCGCGGUAAUACGUAGGGAGCAAGCGUUAUCCGGAAUUAUUGGGUGUAAAGGGUGCGUAGACGGGAAUUUAAGUUGGUUGUGAAAUCCCUCGGCUCAACGGAGGAACUGCAACCAAAACUGAAUUUCGUGAGUGCAGGAGGGGAAAGCGGAAUUCCUAGUGUAGCGGUGAAAUGCGUAGAUAUUAGGAGGAACACCAGUGGCGAAGGCGGCUUACUGGACUGUAACUGACGUUGAGGCUCGAAAGCGUGGGGAGCAAACAGGAUUAGAUACCCUGGUA